rnacentral:lncRNA from 1 species
UUAAUAAGAAUUAUUAUAAUAUGGGUCUGGCUAGGAUAUUAUCGAUAGUACCAAGCGUUUGGUGCUAUCAAGUUUUUCGUCAUUAAAUUUAACCUUUUGACUAUUUUUAUUUAUUAGAUUAUACUAUUAAACCAAUAGCUCACUCAGCUCUAGAGGGCCCACAUCAUCCUAUCCGUAUAUUUUUUCAUCCAAAAACCGAAAACCUAAUAGCACCAAUAACUUAGUGCAAUUGAUAGUAUUCCGGCCUAGAUCUUAUAAUAUUAUAAAAAAAUAGAGUACAAGAGAAAUUAU